AAGUCGUAACAAGGUUUCCGUAGGUGAACCUGCGGAAGGAUCAUUACCAAAUCCAAAUUCAACCACUUGUGAACUUGUCUUGUAUUGUCUUUUGGGAGGUUUGUCAGGUGAUUUAUUGCCUGCUCUCAAACAUAUACUUGUAUAUGAUUGAGAGCCUCCCAUUAGGCGCGUGUGUGUUGCUGCUGCAAGGCGCCAACACCACAAAAACAUAAACCACAAUUUAAAAUUUCCCAUUUGGUUUUUUUAUUCAAAAAAAACAAAUGACAACUUUUAACGGUGGAUCUCUUGGCUCAU
rnacentral:misc_RNA from 1 species